rnacentral:rRNA from 1 species
AUUGAACGCUGGCGGCAUGCUUUACACAUGCAAGUCGAACGGUAACAGGCCUUCGGGUGCUGACGAGUGGCGAACGGGUGAGCAAUGCAUCGGAACGUGCCCAAUCGUGGGGGAUAACGUAGCGAAAGUUACGCUAAUACCGCAUAAGCCCUGAGGGGGAAAGUGGGGGACCGCAAGGCCUCACGCGAAUGGAGCGGCCGAUGUCAGAUUAGCUAGUUGGUGGGGUAAAGGCUCACCAAGGCGACGAUCUGUAGCGGGUCUGAGAGGAUGAUCCGCCACACUGGGACUGAGACACGGCCCAGACUCCUACGGAAGGCAGCAGUGGGGAAUUUUGGACAAUGGGCGCAAGCCUGAUCCAGCCAUGCCGCGUGCGGGACGAAGGCCUCGG